rnacentral:rRNA from 1 species
GACGAACGCUGGCGGCGUGCUUAACACAUGCAAGUCGAACGGAAAGGCCCUGCUUUUGUGGGGUGCUCGAGUGGCGCACGGGUGAGUAACACGUGAGUAACCUGCCCUUGUCUUUGGGAUAACUUCAGGAAACUGGGGCUAAUACCGGAUAGGAGAUCUUGCUGCAUGGUGGGGGUUGGAAAGUUUCGGCGGUUGUGGAUGGACUCGCGGCUUAUCAGCUUGUUGGUGGGGUAGUGGCUUACCAAGGCUUUGACGGGUAGCCGGCCUGGGAGGGUGACCGGGCACAAUGGGACUGAGAUACGGCCCAGACUCCUACGGGAGGCAGCAGUGGGGAAUAUUGCACAAUGGGCGGAAGCCUGAUGCAGCAACGCCGCGUGCGGGAUGACGGCCUUCGGGUUGUAAACCGCUUUCGCCUGUGACGAAGCGGGAGUGACGGUAAUGGGUAAAGAAGCACCGGCUAACUACGUG